UUGUACUGCGCAUGGUAGGGCCUUUGUUACAAUUUUUCUUUUAGAGUUUAUCAUAAUAUUUUUAAUAAAAAUUCUCUUAUCCUAGAAGCAAGAUGUAGUCAACACUUCCACUUAUCAGAAAGGAGAUAGACUAUAUUCUUAGUUCGAAAAGGUACUUGUGAUGCUGCUUUUUGGAUAUGUGCAUGACUCAUCAGUGAUUUCAAAUGAGGAGAAAAGAGCCUUAUGUUGUAAAAAGAGGUGUCUAAUUACAACAGUAUAAUCAAUGAUUGGUUAACAGAAGACAUUUCGGGAAAAAGUAAGGUGCAGACAGUUGCCAAAAAAAGACAGAAAAAGUGAGUAGAAGAAUGAUGUUAUUUCGUAAA